AUGAAUGACUCAUCCCCAGAGAUGCCAACCUCUUGACACAAAAAAUCAGACUGAAUAUCCUCAAAAAUCAUAUUUUUUAGUGAAAAAUCAGAUUUUCACAAAAACUCAAUAUGACCAGUGCAAGCCUUGAAUUAAGCAGCUGCAGGCCGGGGGCAAUUU